UGAGCUGUUAAGUACUCACAGGCCAAGUGC
rnacentral:piRNA from 1 species